rnacentral:rRNA from 1 species
CAGCAGCCGCCGCGGGAAUACGUAGGGUGCAAGCGUUAAUCGGAAUUACUGGGCGUAAAGCGUGCGCAGGCGGUUAUAUAAGACAGAUGUGAAAUCCCCGGGCUCAACCUGGGAACUGCAUUUGUGACUGUAUAGCUAGAGUACGGCAGAGGGGGAUGGAAUUCCGCGUGUAGCAGUGAAAUGCGUAGAUAUGCGGAGGAACACCGAUGGCGAAGGCAAUCCCCUGGGCCUGUACUGACGCUCAUGCACGAAAGCGUGGGGAGCAAACAGGAUUAGAUACCCGCGUAGUCCCUGUCUUUAUACA